CACCUGUUCCCAUGCCGAACACAGAAG
rnacentral:rRNA from 2 species